UCCAUUUUAAUUUUCCAAAUUUAAUUCCCAAAAUAAAAAAUUUGGGAAUUCCAUUCCCCCAAUUUUAACUCCAUGCCAAUUAAAAUUGGGGAACUGAAUGGAAUUCCCAAAAUGGAAUAGAAUGGAAUUCCCCAAAUGGAAUGGAAUGGAAUUCCCAAAAUGGAAUUUCAGCCUCAGCUUUGGCUGAUGGGAUCCUCUUGAUGCCACUGGCAGUUGGAUGAAAUCUUUUGGUCACAAAAAAUAUAAUAUUCUUAUUUUUUCCACCCCCAGGCAAUGGGAAUUGUAAAUAUCCAGCCCUGCUGAUGCGCCAGAACCUAAAUUAUCUCCAAGGCUAAAAUUCUGGGCAGGUCACAAAUGCAGCUCCAAUUUCACUCAGCAAAUAUUUAAUUUGUCAUCCGCUAAUUAACGGAGGAACUGGAAUGUUUCCCAAGGUGCCCAGGAAAGUUCCAGCCCCUUUCAGGAGCUUUUCAAUCCAGUGAUGACUGCCUUGGCUCAGAGUUCCAGGGAAAUAUCCCCAAAUAAAACCUGAUUCACUGCAGAUAAGAAUGAGCUCUGAUUUUCCUUUUAAAAAUGUUUUUAUUUUUAUUUUUAAAGGGAUUUUUUGGACAGAUCUCUGAAGGUUUUCUCUGCUCUGUUCCCCACUUUGGUUUCUCCCUUUGUGUUGCUCCUUCAUGAAACAAAUUUCCGCUGUUUUGCACCAUGGCAGACAAGGAGCUGGGCAUGACCUGGGACAUUUUCCUCUUCUCUGUCACAGAAAGUGUCUGACUUUAUUUAUGGGAUUUGCUAAAGACCCACCAGGCAAUAAAACCUUGAGAUUUUUGUACACCAGUUCUGAGAAUGGGAUUUUGAGGAGCACCCAAGGAUCUGUCUGCACCCUGAGCCAGUGGAAGGGACAACCAGUGAUGGGUUUGAACUGAAGAAUUGAUAGAGAUUGGACCAAACAAUGAAUUUUUUACACUGAGGGGGGCAAAAUGCUGGAAUGCAUCAGCAGAGAGGUCAUGGAUCCAUGCCGGGAACAUCCAAGGUCGGGCUGGACAGGGCUCCAGGCGAGCCCAUCUCACUGAAGGUGCCCUGUCAGGGGGGGCUGGAUUCAAUGACCUUCAGAGACAUCAUCCAACCCCAACCUUCCUGCAGUCCCACACCCAAAUCCUAAUUAAAUAUUUCCAGGAGG